rnacentral:misc_RNA from 1 species
UUUCCGUAGGUGAACCUGCGGAAGGAUCAUUAAUGAGUUGUCAUGGGGUUCGAUGCUGGCAGCCAAUUUUUGGAUGCAUGUGCUUGCCCUAACAAUCAUCUUCUUCCAAACACCUGUGCACAUUUUUGAGGGAGUCUUGAGUUGGUUGCCGCUCUUGGGUGAUUUUCUCACAUUCCCUUAAAUCAUUAUACGCUAUUAACAAUGUUGAACGUGCUCUGUGCCGCAAGGCUAUUAAUAUAAUACAACUUUUAACAACGGAUCUCUUGGCUCUC